ensembl:Y_RNA Y_RNA Y RNA
AAGAUGUCUGAAGGUAGUGAGUUAUCUCAAUUGAUGGUUCACAGUCAGUUAUAGAUUGAACUUCUUGUUCUACUCUUUCCCCUUCUUACUACUGUACUUGACUACUGUUUC